UUCCAUUGUGUAGAUGUGAAAGACCCCCGGAGCGGGGAGACCCUCACUCAAGUCUCGGGAUGAUGCGACCCCCCAAGAACUCACGUGAGACC
rnacentral:pre_miRNA from 14 species